GUGCUUGCUUCAGCAGCACAUAUACUAAAAUUGGAAUGAUAGAGUGAAGAUUCCCAUGGUCCCUGCACAAGGUUGACACACAAAUUUGUGACGCGUUCCAUAUUUUU
ensembl:snRNA U6 U6 spliceosomal RNA